rnacentral:rRNA from 1 species
AUUGAACGCUGGCGGCAUGCCUUACACAUGCAAGUCGAACGGCAGCACGGGAGCAAUCCUGGUGGCGAGUGGCGAACGGGUGAGUAAUGUAUCGGAACGUACCUUUCAGUGGGGGAUAACGUAGCGAAAGUUACGCUAAUACCGCAUAUUCUGUGAGCAGGAAAGCAGGGGAUCGCAAGACCUUGCGCUGAUUGAGCGGCCGAUAUCAGAUUAGCUAGUUGGUGAGGUAAAGGCUCACCAAGGCGACGAUCUGUAGCGGGUCUGAGAGGAUGAUCCACCACACUGGAACUGAGACACGGUCCAGACUCCUACGGGAGGCAGCAGUGGGGAAUUUUGGACAAUGGGCGCAAGCCUGAUCCAGCCAUGCCGCGUGAGUGAAGAAGGCCUGGUUGUAAAGCUCUUCUAGCGGAAGAAACGACGAUGGUAAGUACCUCGUGUGGAUGACGGUACCGGAAGUAAG